AACAUUUAUAGGUAUUUAGUAUUUAUCUUAUUAUAGUGAUUGAAGCAUUGGUAGGCUUCCAAAUUAGAGCAUGCGUGUCUUGAGAGAGAACAGUCAGAGCUGUUUAUGUGAGUGGGACUUUGCCCAAGAAGAGCUGCCUCCUUUGCUAUACAAGAUUUCAGGCAUCAGAAAUCAUCAAUAUCAAUGAUCAGCUAUGCUUUGAUAUGGGGAUGAUGUCUGCCAGGAGGGGAUUACUGGUGAGUUUUAAGGUGGCUGAGGAGUCCAAUCUGUGCUUUGCAUAUCCACAGAUAUGAAAAGUAGUGGCGGGGGGGGACAUGGACAACGACAACAACCUACAGCUGUUUGCCUGGAUGUUGUGCGCUUUCCUUCUUCCUCUACCAUUACUUGGCGUCCUGAACAAGACUGUUCUCUUUGAAGUGGGUUGUAGCUUUAUGUAUGGUACAGCAACAUUGAGACCUGUUACCAGCCAGCACUUCCCAAUUUGUAGGGUUGAUGCCACCCUUCUUAAGGUAUGCUUUCAGGGUGUCCUUGUAGGAUUUUCUCUGCCCUCUGAUGGUCCUCUUACCAGGACCAAAUUGAGAGAAGAUGACUUGCUUCGGAAGACGAGCGUGUCAGCCAUCCGCACACAGCAGCCAGCCCAGUAGCGUUUCUGUAUCAUGAUCUUUGCCUCAAUGCUGGUUUUGUUAGCUGCAGGGAGGAUGCUGGCCUUGGUGCAGUAGUCUUCCCAUCUAAUGUGAAGGAUCUUCCUGAGGCAACACUGAUGAAACCAUUCCAGGUGCUUAAGAUGGCUUUGAUAGGUCAUCCAUAUUUCACACCCAUACAGGAGCGCGGGGAUAACCACUACACUGAGACCAAGAUCAUAAGUUUCCAACUGCAGAUCUCAAAGACACAGCGAAACAGCUUUCCAAAGGAUACACUAGCACAGAGAAUCAUAUGUUCGAUUUCUACGUUCAGACUGACUGGGAGAAACCGUCAACGUAUGGGAAGUGCUCAAUGUUUUCCAGGGGUUCUCCACCAAUGGUAAUUUGUGGGGGCAAGGGGACAGUUUGUUCUGGGGUAAGCUGAUGAAGCACACUGGUCUUCACAAUGUUAAGGGGGAAUCCCAGGCUGUGAUAGGCACUUGAGAAAAGGUCAAGGGUGAACUGCAGACGUGCACAAGGAUAACACAGUCAUCAGCAUACUGAAGGUCAGUGAUGCCAGUCUUGGCAACUUUCAUUUUUCUGUGAAGGCGCUGCAAGUUGAAAAGCUGACCAUCCAUUCAAUACUCAACCCCAAUUCUUGGAGGAAGGCGGUCGCAGAUGAGAAUC